ensembl:lncRNA
UUAGUUUUGAGGGCUCAGAGUUCUCUCCACAUCCCUGCACAGUUACAGAAAUAUACCUCAAUAUCCUCCAUUUCUGCAUUCAGAGAAAUGUUGGCAAGACAUCUGAAAAUGAAAGCACUAAAUGGGAUGCAGUACUGUCUUUAUCUGAGGCUGCUUUUUGUGCAACAGAAGGAAAAAAUGUGAACCUGAAAUCACUGCCCAAAUUAGAAAGCUGUGCUUAUUUAGCUUUUUUGAGCAGGAGUGUAUCUCAAGUCAGCUCAACUGCAAAGAAACCCUUGUGUGCCUUUCUCCACUACACUGUUCAAGAGUUUUUUGCAGCACUGUGGGUCUUGAAGGAUCCAGAACGGACCAGAAGUGUUGUCCAACAGUGUCUGACUGACAACAUCAAACACAUGAAACACUUAGUCCCCUUUUUGUGUGGACUGUUAAAUGAUAAAAACACUGAUUUGCUAGAAAGUCUGAUUCCUUCUCAGCAGCUCAGAGAAACAUCUGGCUGGUUCUUCAAACACUUGGUGACCACCUUUGUAGAUUGUAGUGACACUGAGGACUGUGAAAUAGACUUGCUGUUCUUAUGUCAGUGUCUCUAUGAGUCUCAGUCUGCUGAAGCCUGUGUUUAUCUUCUGGAUAAACUGGACUACUGUCUUGAUCUGAGUGGGGAGACUCUCGAUCCUCAGCAAUGCCAUGCUGUGUCCUAUAUAAUCACCCAGAGUAAGGAGAGGAAAAUACAGCUGAAGCUGCAAAACACAAAAGUAUCAAAACAAGGAGUGAGACCAUUACUAGGAUGUCUGAGCAAACUCCAAAGACGUGUGUCUUCCUCCAGUCUCAGCCUAUCUGCACCUGAGAGAUUUGGUCAUCAGCCAGUUUCCAUUUAAGCCGGAGGAAGACAUUUAUUCAAUGCUGGAUUGUUGACUAAGCUAGAAUCCCAGGCUGAGUAAAUGUUCUCACUGAGUUGUGGACUUGUUUCUGGUGUUUCUUCUGACCAGGCCCGUGGCGAGGAUUCGAGCCUUCAGGACAUCCAGCUGUCUCAGAACCCAGUCGCAAAGAUUGUUGCUUUUCUGUGUGAUCAUGUGUCACUGUAAAUAAACACACUGUACUGAAAAUUUAAGAUUCUGCUUUUUGAGUCCUUCACUAACCAUGACAAAAAAUCAUCUGGAUUUAACAGAGGAAUGAACGAAAGAACUUAGUGAAGUCAUUCACAUGGAUCUCACCUGUCUGUCCAGCAGCUCACAUGUAUUUCAUGUAACUUUAUUCUGUUUCUAUAUCCC